rfam:Picea glauca, whole genome shotgun sequence.
AGAUCCGUGGUGCAAUGGUAGCGCGUCUGACUCUAGAUUAAAAGGUUGCAUGAUUGAUUCAUGUCGGGUUCA